GCUGGGCAUGGUGGUGCAUGCCUGUAAUCCCAGCACCACUGGAGGCUGAGGCAGGCGGAUGAUGAGUUUAAAGCAAACCUCAGCAAAAGCAAGGUGCUAAGCAACUCAGUGAGACCCUGUCUCUA
rnacentral:sRNA from 1 species